rnacentral:lncRNA from 1 species
AUGUCCUAUGGUGUACAGAGGUCUCUCUCUCUCCCUCUUUUCCAAAUGGCCCGCUUCCUGUCCCCUCUACCAAACCACAUGGGAGGGGUCUGGCCAGCUUCUGCAAGAUCCCCUCUGUCCCUGACUCACCACAGACUGAAGCAUCCAGUGUGUGUACAACCAUGCGGUCCACUCUGGAGCAAGCGGAGAGCGGCUGUGCAAUCUGUGACUUGGCACACAGCAGUGUGUGAGCCCGAGCCAGCGAUCCUCCCGCCAGUCUGCACACCUCUGCACCACUCCAGUCAGGUGCCGCCCACCUGGGGAAAGCAAGCAAAGGCUGACAACAAGCUGGACAACGUGUCCUCAUAGUCUGUGAACCAGUGGAAGAUCUCAAACUCCUCUUCAAACAACAAGAUAAGAAGAAAUGAAGGUCUUUUUUCUUCUACUUGCUAUCUACAAACCACACCUAAAUGGUAACUCUUUUCUUCAAUGCACAC